AUUGAACGCUGGCGGCAGGCCUAACACAUGCAAGUCGAACGAGUGGCGGACGGGUGCGUAAUGUUUGGGAAACUGCCCGAUGGAGGGGGAUAACUACUGGAAACAGUAGCUUAUACCGCAUUCCAUUGGAUGUGCCCAGAUGGGAUUUGCUAGUGGGGGGGGUAACGGCUCACCUAGGCGACGAUACCUAGCUGGUCUGAGAGGAUGACCAGCCACACUGGAACUGAGACACGGGCCAGACUCCUAAGGGAGGCAGCAGUGGGGAAUAUUGGACAAUGGGCGCAAGCCUGAUGCAGCCAUGCCGCGUGUAUGAAGAAGGCCUUCGGGUUGUAAAGUACUUUCAGCGAGGAGGCGUUACUCAAAGAAGAAGCACCGGCUAACUCCGUGCCAGCAGCCGCGGUAAUAC
rnacentral:rRNA from 1 species